rnacentral:lncRNA from 1 species
AAUCAUCAAGUCUUCAGACUGGUUAUAGCUCCUCUGACAGUCAACAAUCUAGUUACAAGGCGUUUGAACCUUCCGCAGGUUAUCAUGCCGGUUAUAAAGCGUUUGAACCUGCCAUGGGUCACCAGACCAGUCACAAAGCGUUUGAACCUUCCAUGAGUAACCAGAGUGGUUACAAGGCAUUUGAACCUUCCAUGAGCAACCAGAGUGGUUACAAGGCAUUUGAACCUUCCACGGGUCACCGCAGUGCUUCCAAGGGAUUCAUGCCUUCCACUGGUCAUCAGGCCAGUUACAAAGAAUUUGAAACAUCUACAGGUUACAAUACCAGUUUCAAGAUAUUUGAACCCUCUUCAGCUCAACAUGCUAGUUACAUGG